AAUCAACGCUGGCGGCGUGCCUAACACAUGCAGGUCGAACGAGAAAGUGGAGCAAUCCAUGAGUAAAGUGGCGCACGGGUGAGUAACACGUGACUAACCUACCCUUGAGUGGGGGAUAACCUAGGGAAACCUGGGCUAAUACCGCAUAAUAUCGAGAGAUCAAAGGAGCAAUUCGCUUAAGGAGGGGGUCGCGGCUGAUUAGCUAGUUGGUGGGGUAAUGGCCCACCAAGGCUGUGAUCAGUAUCCGGCCUGAGAGGGCGCACGGACACACUGGAACUGAAACACGGUCCAGACUCCUACGGGAGGCAGCAGUGGGGAAUUUUGCGCAAUGGGGGAAACCCUGACGCAGCAACGCCGCGUGGAGGAUGAAGUCCCUUGGGACGUAAACUCCUUUCGAUCGGGACGAUAAUGACGGUACCGAGAGAAGAAGCCCCGG
rnacentral:rRNA from 1 species